rnacentral:rRNA from 1 species
AUUGAACGCUGGCGGCAGGCCUAACACAUGCAAGUCGAACGGGUGGCGGACGGGUGAGUAAUGUCUUGGAAACUGCCUGAUGGAGGGGGAUAACUACUGGAAACGGUAGCUACUACCGCAUACCAUCAGUUCUGACCAGAUGGGUUUAGCUUGUGGGUGGGGUAACGGCUCACAAAGGCGACGAUCCCUAGCUAGUCUUAGAGGAUGACCAGCCACACUGGAACUGAGACACGGUCCAGACUCCUACGGGAGGCAGCAGUGGGGAAUAUUGCACAAUGGGCGCAAGCCUGAUGCAGCAAUGCCGCGUGUAGGAAGAAGGCCUUCGGGUUGUAAAGUACUUUCAGCGGGGAGGCGUUACCCGCAGAAGAAGCACCGGCUAACUCCGUGCCAGCCGCCGCGGUAAUAC